ACCUGAGAAGUGAAGGCAAAGGCAGAAUUUAAAACUGCCUGAGCAUUGCUGAAGUGCCCCAACACACACAAAGCCUCUUGGCAAAAGGUUGACUUACUGGUUCACAGUAUUCUAAAAAAUAUCUGAGCAAUCACUAGCUGACCACUUAGCUAAUCAGAGACUUCAGUUGUUGCCCAGUAGAGUAAAUACAGACUUUACAGAAUUAGCCCAAGAAAAUCUCUAAACAACAAACAGCAACAAUAACAAAAAUCAACAACAAACCCUGG
rnacentral:lncRNA from 1 species